AGCGAACGCUGGCGGCAGGCCUAACACAUGCAAGUCGAACGAACUCUUCGGAGUUAGUGGCGGACGGGUGAGUAACACGUGGGAACGUUCCUUUAGGUUCGGAAUAACUCUGUUAAACUUGUGCUAAUACCGAAUGUGCCCUUCGGGGGAAAGAUUUAUCGCCUUUAGAGCGGCCCGCGUCUGAUUAGCUAGUUGGUGUGGUAAAGGCCCACCAAGGCGACGAUAAGUAGCUGGUCUGAGAGGAUGAUCAGCCACAUUGGGACUGAGACACGGCCCAAACUCCUACGGGAGGCAGCAGUGGGGAAUCUUGCGCAAUGGGCGAAAGCCUGACGCAGCCAUGCCGCGUGAAUGAUGAAGGUCUUAGGAUUGUAAAAUUCUUUCACCGGGGACGAUAAUGACGGUACCCGGAGAAGAAGCCCCGGCUAACUUCGUG
rnacentral:rRNA from 1 species